rnacentral:rRNA from 1 species
CUACGGGAUGCUGCAGUAGGGAAUUUUCGGCAAUGGGCGCAAGCCUUACCGAGCAACGCCGCGUGGAGGAUGACGCAUUUCGGUGUGUAAACUCCUUUUAUAUGUCAAGAAAAUGACGGUAGCAUAUGAAUAAGCACCGGCUAACUCCGUGCCAGCAGCCGCGGUAAUACGGAGGGUGCAAGCGUUACUCGGAAUCACUGGGCGUAAAGGACGCGUAGGCGGGUUGGAAAGUCAGGUGUGAAAUCCUACAGCUUAACUGUAGAACUGCACUUGAAACUUCUAAUCUAGAGUAUGGGAGGGGGAGAUGGAAUUAGUGGUGUAGGGGUAAAAUCCGUAGAUAUCACUAGGAAUACCUAAAGCGAAGGCGAUCUCCUGGAACAUUACUGACGCUAAGGCGUGAAAGCGUGGGGAGCAAACAGGAUUAGAUACCCUAGUAGUC